rnacentral:tRNA from 1 species
GGUGGGGUUCCCGAGCGGGCUAAGGGAGCAGACUGUCACUCUGCCGUCAUCGACUUCGAAGGGUCGAAUCCUUCCCCCACCACCA